rnacentral:misc_RNA from 1 species
ACACCCUCAAGCACUGCUUGGUGUUGGGCGUCUGUCCCGCCACGGCGCGGACUCGCCUCAAAAGCAUUGGCGGCACGUGUACUGGUCCCAGCGCAGCAAAUGCGGCUCGGGAGCGCGCGCGUGCGUCCAUCAAGAUCUCCCAA